rnacentral:tRNA from 1 species
GUUUUUAUAAUUUAAUUAAAAAUAUUGAUCUUGUAAAUCAAAUUUAAGUCUAACUCUUUAAAAACU